UUCUAGUAAAUGUAGCAUUCGCUAACAGCACUGCGUUGUGUAUGUCAGUUUCGCACUGGGCUAAAAGAAGUGUGUGUUCAGAUACUUGGGCUAAAGCUAGCUGCUAACAGCUAAAGCUCGUUUUGCACACGGUCAAGCGCAGCGAACACACCUCGCCCGUCUCCCUCCGGAACACCUCGCCCAUCAGCAUUUACCGAAGACAACUUUCAACAUCCAGCAACCCGAGAAUUACCACGACCAGAGAUGCUGUUAUUCAGGGUCUACCUGGUAGAGACGAUGGGUCAACUCACAAAAGAGUGUGAUGUGAGCCUGGGUGGGGCAUUGUCCUGAUGGCUAAUGGAGAGCACCUGGGCCCGGUGUCUCUCCUGAGGUCUAUAUAUGCCAGGCUCCUGCCAGUUGGAGGGGGGGACUCGAGAGGAGGCAGCCCCGGCCUUCGCUCCGGCAGUAUUCUCCAUGCGUUUUCAGUUGUGUUGAAUUAUUCUCUUCAUGCAUACACGCACCACACCAUUUUGUCACACAUCCACACUUACAACACUGACUUACUGACUACCCACCUCAUAGGAUCCUUAUGGCUUUUGGAUAUGUGAUUUCAGUUUAUUAUUGAAGUUCUUUCUGUUAGGGUUAUAAUUUAAUAAACAUGUAUUCCUUUCUUCUUAUAAACUGUCUCCUGCUCCUGAUGUUUUGGCAUAGCUUGAGCCAGCUAUGACAAUGACAGCCUGUUAGUAAAUGUAGAAUAAGAUAUUUGUGAUCAUAGAAGUAAUUUGGUAGAUGUUCAAUUAGGACCUAAUCUUUUGGAUGUACAGUGCAUAAUACACAGUCUUCUUGCUAUUUCAGGAUGCUGGUGAACACUUUCACGGGACCUUGCAAUACAAAAGAUGAAACCCUACAGGAUCAUGAUGGCUACGUAAGAGAAUCCAAACGUUGGCAGUGUGUUGGACGGGCUAAAAGUUCUGACUACAUUGAGGGACUUUUGAAGGUCUUGCUGCCUGCAAGGUUGGGUUUGCAUAUGCAAUCAGUCUUGCACACUCAAAGAAACUUAAACAUUUAAGGUUUUCCAGAAAGUUUCCUUGUAGCUGGACUGUGCAAAGCUCUUCCCUGUAGCAAACAGCCUAACAAUCUAGAAAAAAUGGAAUUGUUGUUACUGUUAGAACUCUCAAAUGUGGUUACUGUUUGUUUGAUGCUUGUUAGUUAUGUUUUUAAGAUUCACAUUGAGGAGUUUAGGUUUGGCUAUUGUUUUUCUGGAAUUCAGUUUAAGUGUUGCUAUCUAGUGUUAAUGCUGCUUUAUUUGUGUUGUUCAAAUGUAUAUAAACAUGCUCAUUUAGUGCAGCUUUUCCUGUAUGUAUUUAUAGAAAUUUGCACAAAUAAAUGUU